CGGAGCUAGAUGCUGAGGACGUAGCUUGCUAUUGAAUCUUGUUUAGCUUAGUGGCGGACGGGUGAGUAACGCGUGAGCAACCUACCUUUCAGAGGGGGAUAACGUUUGGAAACGAACGCUAAUACCGCAUGAUAUUAUUGAGCAGCAUUGCCUGAUAAUCAAAGGAGCAAUCCGCUGAAAGAUGGGCUCGCGUCCGAUUAGGUAGUUGGCGGGGUAACGGCCCACCAAGCCGACGAUCGGUAGCCGGACUGAGAGGUUGAACGGCCACAUUGGGACUGAGACACGGCCCAGACUCCUACGGGAGGCAGCAGUGAGGGAUAUUGGUCAAUGGGGGAAACCCUGAACCAGCAACGCCGCGUGAGGGAAGACGGUUUUCGGAUUGUAAACCUCUGUCCUCUGUGAAGAUGAUGACGGUAGCAGAGGAGGAAGCUCCGGCUAACUACGUGCCAGCAGCCGCGGUAAUACGUAGGGAGCAAGCGUUGUCCGGAUUUACUGGGUGUAAAGGGUGCGUAGGCGGCUUUGCAAGUCAGAAGUGAAAUUUUUGGGGCUUACCCAUAAACUGCUUUUGAAAAUGCCGGGGCUUGAUUGAAGUAAAGGUAGGCGGAAUUCCCCGGUGUAGCGGUGAAAUGCGUAGAGAUCGGGAGGAACACCAGUGGCGAAGGCGGCUUACUGGGCUUUUAACUGACGCUGAGGCACGAAAGCGUGGGUAGCAAACAGGAUUAGAUACCCUGGUAGUCCACGCUGUAAACGAUGAUUACUAGGUGUGGGUGGACUGACCCCAUCCGUGCCGGAGUUAACACAAUAAGUAAUCCACCUGGGGAGUACGGCCGCAAGGCUGAAACUCAAAGGAAUUGACGGGGGCCCGCACAAGCAGUGGAGUAUGUGGAUUAAUUCGAUGCAACGCGAAGAACCUUACCAGGUCUUGACAUCCCGCUAACGAGGCAGAGAUGCGUUAGGUGCCCUUCGGGGAAAGCGGAGACAGGUGGUGCAUGGUUGUCGUCAGCUCGUGUCGUGAGAUGUUGGGUUAAGUCCCGCAACGAGCGCAACCCUUACGGUUAGUUGCUACGCAAGAGCACUCUAGCCGGACCGCCGUUGACAAAACGGAGGAAGGUGGGGAUGAUGUCAAAUCAUCAUGCCCCUUAUGACCUGGGCCUCACACGUACUACAAUGGCCGUUAACAGAGGGAGGCAAAGCCGCGAGGCAGAGCAAAACCCUAAAAACGGUCUCAGUUCGGAUCGUAGGCUGCAACCCGCCUGCGUGAAGUUGGAAUUGCUAGUAAU
rnacentral:rRNA from 1 species